GUCAUCCUUGUGUCUCCUCAAAAGCUGAACUCAGUAACACCAAGAAUGACACCAAGCUGGAGCCCUUCACAAAAUACAACUGUACGGGUCAGAUCAAGAAAAACGAUGUCCUCAUUAAUCUCAACACCAGUAUCGAGGUCGAGAUUAACUGUGAUUUUGAAAUAAAUAUCAACGCGACUCCAACCAACACCUCCAUUAAUCUGACAUGGACCAACAGCAGCAAGAACUGUCCAGGUCUUCCUGAACUUCCACAGUUUUCAUAUGACUGCAGUUGUUCCCCCGAAGACAAAUCCACACACAAACGCGCUGGUUCAGCUACCAGUACUCCAACAGGAGGAAGCUGUCACAUUGAAGGACUGAAACCGUACAUCGACUAUACUUGUGAAGUCCAACCAAAAUACAACAACAAGAACGUUGGCUCACACAAUCCAGUUACACAAAAGACUGAACCUGGAAGUAAGUGUCCAAAACUGU